rnacentral:rRNA from 1 species
AACGAACGCUGGCGGCAGGCCUAACACAUGCAAGUCGAGCGGACAUCUUCGGAUGUUAGCGGCGGACGGGUGAGUAACGCGUGGGAACGUGCCCUUUGCUUCGGAAUAGCCUCGGGAAACUGGGAGUAAUACCGGAUGUACCCUUUGGGGGAAAGAUUUAUCGGCAAAGGAUCGGCCCGCGUUGGAUUAGGUAGUUGGUGGGGUAAUGGCCUACCAAGCCGACGAUCCAUAGCUGGUUUGAGAGGAUGAUCAGCCACACUGGGACUGAGACACGGCCCAGACUCCCACGGGGAGCAGCAGUGGGGAAUCUUAGACAAUGGGGGAAACCCUGAUCUAGCCAUGCCGCGUGAGCGAUGAAGGCCUUAGGGUUGUAAAGCUCUUUCACCGGGGAAGAUAAUGACGGUACCCGGAGAAGAAGCCCCGGCUAACUCCGUG